UACGAACUGUGCGAACGUUAUUCGGAAUCACUGGGCUUACAGGGUGCGUAGGCGGCUUGUUAAGUAGGGUGUGAAAGCCCCCGGCUCAACCGGGGAAUUGCGCCCUAAACUGGCGAGCUGGAGUGAGAUAGGGGUGUGUGGAACUUCCGGUGGAGCGGUGAAAUGUGUUGAUAUCGGAAGGAACGCCGGUGGCGAAAGCGACACACUGGAUCUUGUCUGACGCUGAGGCACGAAAGCGUGGGGAGCGAACAGG
rnacentral:rRNA from 1 species